GUGGUAGGUGCAUCGAACCAUCCGAUCAAUGGUCAGUUUUGAUAUAGCCAUGUGUCAAAAUUUGGGACAAUCUUGAUCUGAACAAAUCCAUCCUGACCGUUGAUGGGUUCUACAUAUGUAAUGUCGCUUUCAUUUAGAUUUUCUAUUUCUUUACUUGUCAUUUUUCUGCAAUCAAGGGCUUUUCUUUGGAUGUCAAGAGCUUCAAGGGUCUAUGAG
rnacentral:lncRNA from 1 species